rnacentral:lncRNA from 1 species
CACUAUAUUAACUCACUAUAUUAAAACAUGCUUCAAUUGAGAUUUUGAGAUUUGCACCUCCAAUAGUAAAGUCAACUGAUGAACCUACGCACCAAUAGGUAACUUUUGUCAAGUAGCAUCAUCCUGUUAAAUGUAUAUCUUUAUGCAUAGUAUUAGUAUAUAUGAGUAAAAAGAAUCGAGAAAGGGGUGUUUCUUGACACCCUUUUGCUCAAUAUGGGCCCGUUCAUGCCUCCGGUCAUGUUGUAUAUACUUUUUUCUUUUUAUUUUAUGGGACAUUGUUUGACUUAGUACGAUGUUUUACAAAUUUUGCUAAUUGGAUAUUAGCUUAUUUCACUUGCAUUAAUCUAUAGUAAUAGGUGACUGUUAAAUGUCGGCUAAUAUAUACCAAAUUUUUGAUGAUUUAUUUAGAUAGAUUCAAGUCUUAAAUAUGAUUACAUUUCAUGGAAAAUGACAUUUCUCACAUGCUUAUGUUUGUGAAGAAAGACUGUAAUUAUUUCGUAAAGGUGGAGGAACUUGAGGGUAGUUUGAAGGAUUUUGGCGAGUAGGUGCUGGCGUUUUUCAAGACCCCGCACCUAGAGACUGGGGAGAAACGUUGUGGUAAAAGUUGGAGGUAGGUGCAAACUAUGUUCACACUACAAAUGACGAAAGUUUCACUCAACUGAUCCUUGUGUACACAGUAACAGGUUUUCGAUGAUGCCAAAAUGGGGAAGACUCAUACUAAUUAUUUAUAAUCCAUAAAACUAAGCUGGUUCAUCUAAGUGGCUCAUUCCUGUGUUAUCUGUUGGCGUGUACUAAAUGGAACAGGUUAAGCACAAAACAUAAGUUUGUCAUUAUCAAAAAGGGGGAAUUUAUUGGACUUGAUGAGAUUCGAUGAUAGACAAGAUGAAUUGGGCAAAUUCAAUGGGAUGUACAAAUUGGAGAAGGACUAAUGAAGAAAGAUGUAUUCUUAUCUUUAGUUGCACAUAACUAGUGAUACUGGAUCUUAGUUUGAGGUUGUUAAAACAAUGUCACUAUAUGACUGACAUUUUGUUUAUGCCAUUGUUCUCUUAUUGGGUUAUGAUUCGCUUGAUGUAGGACUAGUUAGGUGUCAUCACGACUUAGGAAAAUUAGGUCUUAACCGUGACAGUUCUCAGUUUACAUCUUUUAUCUCUUGACUUGUUAAAACACAUUCAAAGGGAAACAAGAAAGAAGAGAUCAAUGACAUUUGGAAUAUACAUAUUCAAUUAGGUAUAUUGUAGAUUAGCAGGGGAAGCACACAACAAUUACAAAAUCAUAAACUAGAAACUUUCAAUGUUGCUUGUAACAAAAUGUAAAGUUGAUCUUUUACUAUAUGCAUUGUAUUUGCAUCAUUUCUUUAGUCUAUAAGUAGGAAUAGCCAUCAAAGGCUUUUCUCUACAUGUUACUAUCCCAAACUUCUCAUCAAUGUCUAAAUCACAAGGCUGAAUACCAUUUGGAAGCUCCCACUCAAAGCAAUGUACCAAUUGUGCCACCACAAGGCGGACGAUGGUAACUGCCAACUGCAUUCCAGGGCAGCUUCUUCU